GUUUGAUCCUGGCUCAGAACGAACGCUGGCGGCAGGCCUAAAACAUGCAAGUCGAACGGGUGUAGCAAUACAUCAGUGGCGCACGGGUGAGUAACGCGUGGGAACGUGCCCUUCAGUACGGGACAACGUCGGGAAACUGACGCUAAUACCGUAUAAUGACUCCGGUCCAAAGAUUUAUCGCUGAAGGAGCGGCCCGCGUCUGAUUAGCUAGUUGGUGAGGUAAUGGCUCACCAAGGCUACGAUCAGUAGCAGGUCUGAGAGGAUGAUCUGCCACACUGGGACUGAGACACGGCCCAGACUCCUACGGGAGGCAGCAGUUAGGAAUAUUGGACAAUGGGCGAAAGCCUGAUCCAGCCAUGCCGCGUGUGUGAUGAAGGCCCUAGGGUUGUAAAGCACUUUCGUUGGGAGUGAUAAUGACCGUACCCAAAGAAGAAGCACCGGCUAACUUCGUG
rnacentral:rRNA from 1 species